rnacentral:rRNA from 1 species
AACGAACGCUGGCGGCAUGCCUAACACAUGCAAGUCGAACGGGACCUUCGGGUCUAGUGGCGCACGGGUGCGUAACGCGUGGGGAUCUGCCCUUAGGUACGGAAUAACUCAGGGAAACUUGAGCUAAUACCGUAUAAUGACUUCGGUCCAAAGAUUUAUCGCCUAGGGAUGAACCCGCGUAGGAUUAGCUUGUUGGUGAGGUAAAGGCUCACCAAGGCGACGAUCCUUAGCUGGUCUGAGAGGAUGAUCAGCCACACUGGGACUGAGACACGGCCCAGACUCCUACGGGAGGCAGCAGUGGGGAAGUAUUGGACAAUGGGCGAAAGACCUGAUCCAGCAAUGCCGCGUGAGUGAUGAAGGCCUUAGGGUUGUAAAGCUCUUUUACCCGGGAUGAUAAUGACAGUACCGGGAGAAUAAGCUCCGCUAACUCC